rnacentral:lncRNA from 13 species
GGUUAAUUACCAGGACCAAGGUUACCCAGCUGGGUGGCAGCAAGGCUAAGAUGUGAUCCCAGGUCUGCAGGCACUCGUUGCCUUUCAUAAAUUGUUUUGGCCAAAGGGCCUCACCUCUUCCAAACCCGUAUCAAGGUUCACCACUUGCAGGAAGGCCUCCUGGCUGUCUCCAGGGUGGAUCUCUCCAACCACCCCAGCUGCAGAAUGUCUGCUCCAGACCAUGACCUCCUCCCAAGCUCCCGGACAACUUCUAGAAAGGAGGGCUUGCUUUCUGCCUCUGCGGGACCCAUAUACCCUGGGAACAGCGCAAGCUACCCCUGAAGGCAAACAGAAGACUCAGAGACAGAGCAGAGGAGCCUAAGCCAUAAGGCAGAGGGAAACAUUUCCCUCCUGUCUUAGACACUGCCUGCCCUGGAUCCAGUAAGUGGCAUGACCAUGCUGAGUGGUGCCUGGGCCCCUAAUAACUGCUCCUUCAGUUCUGCACAGAGAAGGCCAUUCCUGGAAAGGGCUCCAUUAAAUCCUUAGCCAAGAGCUGCAUCUCAUCUGUUUCCAUCUUAGCCAAGAAGAGGUGGCGCACGUCCAGUCCGCUCCUAAGGUGCCGAUCUUGUAGGGCACAUGGUAGAGUCUUCAGUAAACAGCAAUUUCUUGUUCUCGUGUAGUUAUUGUGGCUGAGAUAAGAC